rnacentral:rRNA from 1 species
UACAGAGGUCCCGAGCGUUGUUCGGAUUCACUGGGCGUAAAGGGUGCGUAGGUGGCAUGUUAAGUUUGAUGUGAAAGCUCAGGGCUUAACCCUGAAAUGGCAUUGAAUACUAGCGUGCUGGAGGUUUGGAGGGGGAACUGGAAUUCUCGGUGUAGCAGUGAAAAUGCGUAGAUAUCGAGAGGAACACCAGUGGCGAAGGCGAGUCCCCUGGACAACACCUGACACUGAGGCACGAAAAGCCCGGGGGGGAGCAAAACAGG